rnacentral:lncRNA from 1 species
UUUUUAUUGUAACAAUCUGGUAUCUGAAUGGGUUUCUAAAGCAUUGCACUAUCUUGCAGUUAAAAGUUGGGUUUAAGCAAUUGUUUAGUUUGAUUUCAGAUAGCUCAUGCUAGAAAACUUAAAUACUUAGGAUAAAAAAAUUAGAAAGUUUCAAUUUUGAACUGGGUAGCCUCAGAAAAUUUCACUAGGUAUUCCAGUGCAUUAACUUGGGCAAAGAUAAUAAAUUAUGAUAUGAUAUCUGUUCCCCUCAGUGUGUAAGAUUCAGGAAAAAAAAAGGGGGUGCUAAAUUAAAACGUUGGUCUGGCUUAUUGAAAUGACAUUAAUUAGCAACAGUCUUGGAAAUUUUUAAGACUUGAUUUUGGAUAUACAUGGUAAAACUUAAUACUACUUUAGGAACUUCAGAACAAAGGAAGCAGCUUAAUGGUCCUGAGGGAAUUUCCUCUGAUGGUGGCCUUUAUAUUAUCAGAAAAAGAUCCUAUUUUCAGUUUUGUGUGGGCAAGUGUUUCUAAUGUAAAGAGAUAUAAAGAUAUAAAAUUUUGAGAAUUGCAUCUUAAACCUGGAAAUUAUGACUUAUAGCUAAAAUGCCUUAGGCAUGAGGUUUCUGCUCAGAAUUCCAGUUUUCCCAGUUCCUUCCAGACCUCAGCCAGGACUUAAGCUGAUAUGCAAAUAGAAGAAGCCUGGGGCUCAACAGAGGGCAGAUUUCAGGCCCAAGGGAAAAAAAAAAAAAGGUUAAAGUGUCUUUUUACCUGAACUCAAACUAGACCCCAACCCUAAAAUAAAUUAUAUGGUAUUUAUUAAUUACUGGCCAGUCAUCUUUCUUAGGACUCUUGCUUUUUCUUAGAUUCUGCAUUUUUUUUUUUUUUGGAGCUCAUGAUUUUAAUCCCACAGACGAGUUAAUGUUUUCUGAUCAGUUCUAUUUCUGAUCAACUGUGGAGUUUUUAAACAUUGCAAUGGAGAUUUCACCUGAAAAAGCUACAAGGGUGUUACAUUUGUGUUAUGUGUUGUAUGUCGGUAUGUCUGUAUGUGUGUAUGUCCAUAUAUCCUGCAGUGAUAUGACAAUUGACAGAUGAGGAGCGCUCAUAAAAAAAUUUAAAAAUGGAUCCAAAUAUCUUUGAUUCACGUGAUUCAAAUGGUUCAAUUUAAAUUGGGUAAACAGAUAAAAUGAUGGUGUCUAUAAAAUAAUCUGCUUAAAUUCAGAAAUUUACGGAUAUUGUUUUAAAGUGUGAACAAAAGGAGGUUAACAGAUGGAAAAAAAAACUAGAAAGUUUUAGGUAUGGAUUUAAUAGAGGGAAAAUGUGUUUCUGGAUAAGAGAGUCUAUGUGAUUAAGUAAUUAAGAAGGUUUAAGUAAGUGAUAAAAAAGGUUUGUGUAAGUUGGUUAUGUGUGUAAGUUUUUGAGCAAAUAAUCUUAAAGAAAUUGAAGAUUAUACAACUAUGGUUAAACAACAGCUGUUAUUUUUCAAUAUUGUAAUGUUGUUACUUUAAAAGCUAACCUCGGUUAAUAUAAAAACAUCAAUGUAAUUAUGGUGCUAUUAAUGUGUUCAUAUCUUCCAGGAAUACAAGUCUAUAAGGUAGAAGCUUCAAAAGAACAUUGUAUCAAGCUGGUGUUCUAAAGUUGUAUGGUAAUUUUAGGCUUAAAAAAAAAAAAACAUGUUGGAGAUUUAUUCAUAUCAUUUGUGUUCUACAACUGGACUUGUUAUCAAUAAGAUAUGUAAGGUUCCAUGUUACUUUCUACUCUGAGAUACAAUUUAUGUAUUUUUAAGUUAAUGAGAGCCUAAUCUGUGUGAAGGUUUUAUUGCAAAACACAAAAGUACAUUACUACUUUUCUACAAGAGGUUGAAAGCUUUCAGCCUUUAAUUCAUGUUUUAGGUGUGAUAUUAUAUUGUGUUAGCUAAUGUUCAUGUAAACUUGAACAACAAUUUAUGUAAACUUUGUAAAAUGAUCAGCUUCAGAACUAUAGUACUNCAAAAAUAAGUAAACUGGAGGCUACAAAAGAGAUUCUCAGACAGGAAUGCCUGAUAACUAUUAAAAGGAACUGCCAGAGUAGUUUUAGCUUAAGGUUAAGGCCUUUAUUCCUAACCUACACAGGUAGGCUUGGUGUUUGCUAGUAUGGUUAUCCAGCCCUAAGUAACAGAAUUAAAGGUUUCUCUAUUAGACAUAGGUCAUACUAGUAAAAAGGAUUUUGCAAGAUCAAAUGACAUUAAAUUAUUAGACUAUAUCUUAAAGGAAAAAACAUCUGUAAACCUAAAUGUUAGUUGUUGUGUUUACAUCCCCGACAUUUCUGGCAAUGUGACAAAGGUCCUUAAAGAUUUACAUGCUCAGAUAGAAGCCAUGUCCUCAGCAACUUUGUCGUGGAAACAGUAUCUUAGCUCCUAGUUCUUGGUACUUCCUGGUGGAAAACAUUGUUAGUCUCUGUCUUGGCCAUUAUACUCAUUGGCAUAUUCCUGUGCUGUGACAUUUAUUGCUGCAUCAAUAUGGUUCCAGUAUUAAUGAAUUCUUGUUUCUCUUAUAGACCACCCAUCACUCGAAUGGCCCUCCAGCCUAAUACUUCUCAAUUGGACUUUUAUCAUGGACCACUCGAUAGACCCGAUUUUUUAAAGGGGGACUCCAAGCUGCUUGCCCCACACCAUCCCUCUUCAGCCUGAAGAAGCCAGAAAGAUUCUCUUCGCCCCCCUUCCUUACAGCAGUAAGGAGUUCCCAAAUUAGAGGGGGGAAGGAAGCCAGAUUUUAAGUUAGGUAGUCAGUGUAGUUAGAUAAAUCGGGGUCUAAUACCGAGUGGAAUCUAAAAUGGAGGCCAUGCUGAAAAUGAUUCCAGGGAACGCAAAACAACUCAUGAAAUGUGAAACCCUUCAAUAAUCGUGAUGCAUUACUUUUAAGAUUAAAAGUAGUCAGAAAAAGGAGUGGGGAAUGUAAGGGUAAAAGAAAUUGAAGUUAAAGCACAAAAGUUAAAGGGUAAAAGACCGGGUGUUGUAAAGUUUCUAAGCUGCAAGGUCUGAGUUAAAAUGUAAAGGAUUAGGUAUUGUUAGGUUUCUAUGCUACCUGCAAAACCUGAAAUUUCUGUAGCUGUUAAGACAAUGCUUGGAACUGCCCAGUAAACAGUUCCCCUGACUGUUUGGUUGUUUAAUAACUGAAGGGCUCUGUGUGGUUGCACGUAUGCCUUGCAGGGCCUGAACCAAUCAGUUUGAAUGUGUACCCCGUUUAGAAAUGACCUAUCACUCCAGCCUGACCUGUUCCCACCAAUGAAUGAACUAAUCAUGUUUAGGAGUUGUUGUUCAAUUUUCCCGCGCCUCAUGAUGAUUUGUUCUGAUGUAUACAAAGCCCUCCGCCCUCCCCAAAAAGUGUACUUAAGCAGUGCUCAGCCCCUGCUUGGGGCUCUGGGCUGCUUUCCCUUCUUGAGUGGGCACGGAGCCCCAGCAUGCUGGUUCAAUAAAUCCCCUUCUGCCAAUUGCAUGAGUGGUCACUUGGUGAU